CGCCUUAUACUCCUACGGGAGGCAGCAGUGGGGAAUUUUGGACAAUGGGCGCAAGCCUGAUCCAGCCAUGCCGCGUGAGUGAAGAAGGCCUUCGGGUUGUAAAGCUCUUUCAGACGGAAAGAAAUCGGUGAGGUUAAUACCUUCACUGGAUGACGGUACCGUAAGAAGAAGCACCGGCUAACUACGUGCCAGCAGCCGCGGUAAUACGUAGGGUGCGAGCGUUAAUCGGAAUUACUGGGCGUAAUGCGUGCGCAGGCGGUUAUGUAAGACAGAUGUGAAAUCCCCGGGCUCAACCUGGGAACUGCGUUUGUGACUGCAUAACUAGAGUACGGCAGAGGGAGGUGGAAUUCCACGUGUAGCAGUGAAAUGCGUAGAGAUGUGGAGGAACACCGAUGGCGAAGGCAGCCUCCUGGGCCAGUACUGACGCUCAUGCACGAAAGCGUGGGGAGCAAACAGGAUUAGAAACCCUAGUAGUCCACGUACCA
rnacentral:rRNA from 1 species